rnacentral:rRNA from 1 species
AUACAGAGGGUGCAAGCGUUGUUCGGAAUUACUGGGCGUAAAGCGCGCGCAGGCGGGAUGGCAAGUCGGAUGUGAAAGUCCUCGGCUCAACCGAGGAAGUGCAUUCGAAACUGCCGUUCUUGAGUGUCGGAGAGGGUGGUGGAAUUCCCGGUGUAGAGGUGAAAUUCGUAGAUAUCGGGAGGAACACCAGUGGCGAAGGCGACCACCUGGACGAACACUGACGCUGAGGCGCGAAAGCGUGGGGAGCAAACAGGAUUAGAUACCCUGGUAGUCCACGCCGUAAACGAUGAGUGCUAGCUGUUGCGGGAGUUGACCCCUGCAGUGGCGAAGCCAACGCAUUAAGCACUCCGCCUGGGGAGUACGGCCGCAAGGCUAAA